AGAUGAGAUUUCCCAACUUCGGUUAUAAGAUCCCUCAAAGAUGAUGAGGUUAAUAGGUUCGAGGUGGAAGCGUAGCGAUACGUGGAGCUGACGAAUACUAAUCGAUCGAAGACUUAAUCAAUUU
rnacentral:rRNA from 1 species